rnacentral:rRNA from 1 species
CGGCGGGACGGGGUGGAGUAACGCGUGGGUAACCUGCCUCAUACAGGGGGAUAACAGUUAGAAAUGACUGCUAAUACCGCAUAAGACCACGGUACCGCAUGGUACAGUGGUAAAAACUCCGGUGGUAUGAGAUGGACCCGCGUCUGAUUAGGUAGUUGGUGGGGUAACGGCCUACCAAGCCGACGAUCAGUAGCCGACCUGAGAGGGUGACCGGCCACAUUGGGACUGAGACACGGCCCAG